UCAGCUAGGGUUUAAGGGCGUUUUCGGUGUAAUUAUGUUCACCCGAAUCAGCUCCGUUCGUGGUACGCCUAUCUUUUUUCUGUGGGGAGAUCUCGUCAAAGCAUCGGUACAAAAUUGCUGUUAUUGGUCCAGAUUUAAGGAACACACCGUGCUCGAGGAUCUUCUUCAUGGAGCGAGUUGUCCUCAAUGCUUACUUUAAUCGAAAUUUGUAACUGACAUACCGGAUUGAUUUUGCAUAAGUACCGAACACAUUGGAUGUGUUUCGUUUCUGA